rnacentral:tRNA from 1 species
GGCUUCGUAGCUCAGCUGGUAGAGCGUACGCUGCACAAAAGCGUGGGCGGCGUCCAUGCGUGGGUUCGAAUCCCAUCGAGGCUA